CCCUUAGAUGUUCUGGGCCGCACGCGCGCUACACUGAUGCAUUCAACGAGCCUAUCCUUGACCGACAGGUCCGGGUAAUCUUUGAAUCUGCAUCGUGACGGGGAUAGAUUAUUGCAAUUAUUAAUCUUCAACGGGGAAUGCCUAGUAGGCGCAAGUCAUCAGCUUGCGUCGAUUACGUCCCUGCCCUUUGUACACACCGCCCGUCGCUCCUACCGAUUGGGUGUGCUGGUGAAAUGUUCGGAUCGGCCGUUUGUCGCGGUUUCCGCGUCAUGUGGCUGAGAAGUUCAUUAAACCCUCCCACCGAGAGGAAGGAGAAGUCGUAACA
rnacentral:rRNA from 1 species